rnacentral:rRNA from 1 species
AUUGAACGCUGGCGGCAUGCCUUACACAUGCAAGUCGAACGGUAACGCGGGGCAACCUGGCGACGAGUGGCGAACGGGUGAGUAAUGUAUCGGAACGUGCCCAGUUGUGGGGGAUAACUGCUCGAAAGAGCAGCUAAUACCGCAUACGACCUGAGGGUGAAAGCGGGGGAUCGCAAGACCUCGCGCAAUUGGAGCGGCCGAUAUCAGAUUAGGUAGUUGGUGAGGUAAAGGCUCACCAAGCCGACGAUCUGUAGCUGGUCUGAGAGGACGACCAGCCACACUGGGACUGAGACACGGCCCAGACUCCUACGGGAGGUAGCAGUGGGGAAUUUUGGACAAUGGGCGCAAGCCUGAUCCAGCCAUGCCGCGUGCAGGAUGAAGGCCUUCGGGUUGUAAACCGCUUUUGUACGGAACGAAAAGACUCUGGUUAAUACCUGGGGUCCAUGACGGUACCGUAAGAAUAAGCACCGGCUAACUACGUGCCAGCAGCCGCGGUAAAAC